CAGGGAUGCUGAGACAGAGGCAGUAGGACAGCCAUCGUGGGGCUGUGCUCAUGUCAAGUGCACAGCGUUUGACUCUGGACUACAGUACUGCAGCAUCAUCCUGUGCUUUUAUGCUUGUCAACUUGCCAUAUAAGUCACUCGUUUCAUUCGUUUGGAUAUUUCCGAUCUAUAUUUCUCAUUUAGAUGUGUGAAGAUUUUUUUUCUGCAUCUUCUGCAGAGGCACAGCCAGUGUGCAGCCCAUGUCUGCUUUCCAGACGGAUACAUCUGAAUGCAUAUUCUGAACGCUGACAGCCCAAGCCGUUAAAAUGAGCACUGCGUUGGAACAGCAGACGGUGCACAGCCCACUGGAGCAGAAGCAGAGCAGCUCCAUCCUGUGUCACACCUGUGGGGAGCCCUGCAAAGGGGAGGCACUGCGCGUCCAGAACAAACACUUCCACAUCAAAUGCUUCAUCUGUAAAGUGUGUGGCUGUGACCUGGCCCAGGGCGGGUUCUUCGUGCGGGAAGGAGACUACAUCUGCACCGUGGACUACCAGAAGCUGUAUGGGACACGCUGCUUCAGCUGUGACCAGUUCAUCGAGGGGGAGGUGGUCUCUGCCCUGGGGAAGACCUACCACCCUCGCUGCUUCGUGUGUGCCCUCUGCAAGCAGCCUUUUCCCGCUGGUGACCGGGUGACCUUCAACGGCAAGGAGUGCAUCUGCCAAAAGUGCACACAACCCCUUCCUGAGAACAGCCCGGCGCCCAUCCAAGCCGUCCACAAUUGCUGUGGAUGUGGGAAGGAGUUUAAGAAUGAACAGUCCCUGGUGGCUUUGGACAAACACUGGCACCUCGGCUGCUUCAAGUGCCAGGUCUGCAACAAGGUGCUCAAUGCCGAGUACAUCAGCAAGGAUGGAGUACCAUACUGUGAAAUGGACUACCACGCCAUGUAUGGAAUCCAGUGUGAGAGCUGCAAGAAGUACAUUACUGGGAAGGUGUUGGAGGCUGGCGACAAACAUUACCACCCGACAUGUGCACGCUGUGCCAGGUGUGACCAGAUGUUUGGAGAGGGAGAGGAGAUGUACCUGCAAGGUUCCUCCAUCUGGCACCCACCCUGCAGGCAGGCAGCAAGGAUGGAGGAGAAGAGUAAGAAGCAGGUCCGGAUUCAGCUCAAUGGAGGCUCAGAGCAGGUGACCAGGAGUUCCUCUGAGAGCAUCACCUCCGCGCCAGCUUCCAGUGCCUCAGGCUCCCCGAGCAAGGUCAUUUAUGCAAAACUGGGUGACGAGUUCCUCGACUACAAGGACCUAGCAGCGCUGCCGAAGGUCAAAGCCAUCUACAACAUCGACAGGCCGGACAUGCUGACGUACUCGCCCUACGUCAGCUACACUGCCGACGAGCGACAUCACGGAGAGUCACCCCAGUUACUUUCUCCCACUUCAACGGAGGGUGACGGAGACAAGUCCCCCAGGCAGAGGAGGCCGUCCAGCCCCAGCUCCAACAGCUCCCUGGGGGGGUAUGGGCGCUACACCCCAUCCCGCUCGCCCCAGACCUACAGUCGCCCAGAGCCAUAUAUUGGAGGUCGCUACGCGACCCUGCCAGGGAACUCAUGCUCCUUGCCACCGUACUUGUCCACCGAGUGGUCCGGGCCAGUGACACAGGGCACCGCCACCCUGCCGGCGUGUGGAGGGGCCGACCAAAACACCCCCCAGGCCACCUCCCUGCCGCUCACCUCCGCCACGCUGGCCACGCUACAACACAACUACGUGCCCUACUUCAAAGGCUACAAGCAGGACCUCCUCCUGGAAAUUAAGCCUAGGAGUUCGCUGCAUCUCAGUUUGCCCGCUCACGGUAGUGAAAGUGGGCGGAGCACCCCCAGCUUAUCUGCAUAUUCAGACAGCAAAUCUCCCUCGUCCACAUACGUGCAGGCUCCCAGACAUUUCCACAUACCAGAAACUAUGGUCAAAGAUAAUAUCUAUAGGAAACCCCCUAUCUACAAACAGCAUGUGUCAAGGGCAUCCUGGCAAGAUGGGGACGAGGUGGACAGAAAGGCGAAGUCAAGCUGGAUGAACCUGAAGAGUGAUGUUGAUGGACAGUCAGGGCCUGAGUAUAUGGACCCCAGGACAUCCACACGAAGUCUGCCCACUGACAGCAACAUGGCCAAUUUCCCGUACAACAAGUCAGCCUCAUUGCCGGGUUAUGGCAGAAACGGGAUCUACAAGGCCACUGACCUCGCCGAGGACAGCCCAGACCAAGACUCCAGCUGGGGCAUGAGAGAGUACAAGGUGAGGGACGUCACUCACAGGAGCGAGAGGGGUGUGGAGGCGUGGUCAGGUGUAGGGGGCGGGAUGUGAGCGUGCUGCUGCCACGGCGACCGUGUCCUGCAUCUCAUGCUCUUUGUGUGUGCGCGGUUUCCAGGUGUACCCCUACAACAUGCUGGCGGUGACGAACCGGGCCCGGGCGAAGCUGCCCAGGGACGUGGACAGGACCAGGCUGGAGCGCCACCUGUCUCCUGAAGACUUCCUCCAGGUCUUUGGGAUGACCAUCGAGCAGUUUGACCGCCUGGCUCUGUGGAAGAGGAAUGACUUGAAGAAGAAGGCAUACCUUUUUUAGCUGCUUGGUUGACAACAAAAUAAACAAGAGUAGAGGAAAUGUCAAAGCACCACUGUGCUGCUUGGUGCCUCCUAUAGUAUACAGGGAGGAGGGUGCCCAAGGAGUCAUUCGAGGGCACGGAACGUUCUGGCAACGUUGCCUCUGUGUGGAAGCGGGCUUUCCUAGCCGCCUCCGUUUGCCGACAACGUUACAAGAACGUUUCUAGAUGACUGGGAGAUGCUGCAUUUGCAUGGCCGGCCGUCCCAUUCCAUCUCCCUCCUGUGUGAUUUCUGAACCUUGCUUUCUCGCUGUCCCUGGGUAGGGGCGAUGCCCAGGCCAUCAGCGGCCACUCUCGGCACGAAAACACGACGUGUGCAGCUUAAAUCCAUCAUUGUUACAACACUAGUUUAGCUUAGAGCAGUUGCAGACCAGAUAAACUGUAGGACAGCAUGCUGAGGCCAAAGAACUGGUCAGGAUGUCAGUUAUUCAGGGGUUAUUUUAUGCAAACGAUUCUCAAAGCACCUUAUGUUUGCUUCAUCGAGACCUUUUGAAUGAACGUUGCAAGUUCACUGUUUUUUGCUAGGUAACCUAUCUGUGCAUGAGACUGGGCUCUUUCAUGCUAUUCUGGAGGCCUCAGAAUCAGUGAUGGGCAAAUGAAGCUUCAUGAACCGUUUGCUGUAGUUUUUGAACCCACUAGACGGUGCUUUUGGUUUGCUUUGAGCCCUGUUAUGAACAGAGAGCUCCAUCUAGUGGGGUCGGAAAGUACAGCGAAUGGUUCAUGAAGCUUAAUUUGGCCUACAACUUGAACUACAGAAUCAGUUAAGCUGGAGAAUGUGAAGGACAUUGAAUCACAGGGGAGUGAGUGACACACUUCCUGUCACAUGGCAGACCACCAGUCACAGGGAAGCCUUAACUUUGCAGUUGCCAGUGUUCACAGUCAAAUUCAAGGUGGUCACAAUUUGAAACCUAUGACUCAUAUUUUUUAAGGCAGUGGUGGUGAACGGUUUUCAUUCUUUAUGCCUAAAUUAUUUUUAUACUCUAUUUUUGUCUUCAGAUAAAGGUCAAUAUGACAGUGACAGCAAGUGAUUCAAUUGUGUAUCUAUUUCAUAAAGCCAAUAUUAGAUUUGUUUUUAGGUUGAUGCGUGUUGCUCCCAAAGCAUUACAUGGUGUUCUGUUCCAUCCUGUUUAAGUUAUCCGUUAUCAUCAUUCACAUAUUUUUUCUGGUAGGGAUUAUCUUGUACAUAUUUCCCCUGCAACUGCCUAUAAUUUAAUAUAAACUGCCAGGCAGAAGGCAGAGAUUACAGUUAUAUUCGCUAACACUGGAUGUUUCCAUUUUAACAAUGAAUAUUUUAGGGUCUGUAAUCUUGACAUGCUUAUUGUUGUAGAGUUUACAAUAAAUUUGGCCUUUCCAAGUAUCUGCAUGAAAGAGAGAUGGCGAUCUCUUCAAAGUUAUCCUCGUGGUGUUAUUUACUAAAGAAACGAUAAUACAGAAGUUUGCAUUACAUAUAUUUGUCUCCUGAUUUUGCAGUUUAAUUUAGGUAUGAGUUGUAAGACAGCUUUGCUUUGUGUCAGAUAAAACUGUAAUGGAGAGAAAGGUAGACGCUGAAUGUGAGACGAAAUCUGGGGAAAUUGCUGCUGUUUAUGAUACUGUGGAGAAGUUGAACAGAUGGUGACGACGUCGUGUGGUUCUGCGUCACGUAUUGGCUCCCAUUUGCACUCUCCCUCUCCCCCUGCCCCCCCCCCCACUCUCCCCCAGCACACCUAUACUCAUGUUUUUCUUUAAACAUGACCAGUUGUUGUCAGAAAGUCAUCUAAAACAGCCUUCAGAAUAAAGCUAUAACUUAUAAAGUAUUAAAGUGCAUUUUGGGGCGGCUCGUGCAGGCUGACUGGGUGGGGUUUGAGGCGCCCUGCAUGCUGUCUUUUGGUGCUGCUGUGUCACGAUAACACAGAGGCAGAAUCAGUGUGCAGUGCGUCCACAUACUCCAUCAGGGAAGCCUUGUUAUACCCUAUUAAAUUGUCUCAUGAUUUCUAGUGUUGCUGGGCUCCUGUGGGGCUGUGCUGUUUGAACAGCUGUAGAGACAGAGGGCUGUCACUCCAUGCUAAGGCUGCAUGCCUGGCACAUUGUCAGACAGCCCCCUUCUCCCCUGACAGAAACUGCCUUCUCACCCCGAGAAAACAGGCGCCCCCUAGAGGAAGCCAAUUUAUACUUCAGUGGACUAAGAAUCCCCCGCCCUCCCCAACUGCAUAUUUUGCUUUUAUUACUCUUCUAAAUUGGCUAUCCAAAACAAACAAUUCUGUAUAGUAAUUUCCAGAAAGACAGCUGAGGGAUAUCCAUUGCUUUGUUUUUACAGAUUACCUGUUAGGUUGUAAGAUAAGUGAAUGGUAAAUUGGACAUUUUUGUAAUGUUUCUGUUAGUUUACCGUUUAUAUGCAUCAACCUGACAUAGAAAAAAGCACUGGUACACAUGGAAGCUUAGGGAGAGAUGAUGCUAGUUGCUAACAUUACCUGGAUUUUUAUAUUUUGUCACCAACUGCGUAUGAUUUUUCCCCUUUAUUUUAUUCGAUAGUGACAUGCAGCUUAUGUGACGUUAAGGCUGUUACUUGUGUGUUACGUCCGUGACUGAGAAGAGGCCACGUCAUCGCCCAGCACAGUUUGUCCAUUUAAUGUAAAUGUGUGCCGAUAACCCUUCAAGUUCUGCUGUAACUAAGCCUUUUCUUUUGCUUUGCUGGUUUGCUGAUGUCCAUCUUUAAAAUAAAUGUUUCAUUCAGUA